UUGACCAAUGAAAGCUGAAUAUGCUAUAGAUGUAUAGGAUGCAUUUUGGUUCUUGUGAUAGUUGUAGAACUGAAUGUCAUACUAUUAGAUGCUAUGAUAUUGUACUACAAAGAUAAUGGUCCAUAGCCCUUACUAAGAAGCCAAGGUCUCACCAAAAGUCCAUGUACAUAGAGCAGAAAUAUACGUGAAUACCUCAAAUAGAAGUAUAUAAAGUAAACUCCACAUA
rnacentral:lncRNA from 1 species